rnacentral:miRNA from 1 species
CUCACUCAAGAGCAGCACUCACUCACUCUCUUUUCCACAUUGUCUCAAUCUCUCUUUCUGUGUGUGCUGCCUCUCUUUGAGUGAG